UACGUAGGGGGCGAGCGUUGUCCGGAUUUAUUGGGCGUAAAGAGCUCGUAGGCGGUUCGGUAAGUCGGAUGUGAAAUCUCCACGCUCAACGUGGAGGGGCCAUUCGAAACUGCCGUGACUUGAGUACGGUAGGGGAGUGUGGAAUUCCUGGUGUAGCGGUGAAAUGCGCAGAUAUCAGGAGGAAUACCGAUGGCGAAGGCAGCCCCCUGGGUCGACACUGACGCUCAUGCACGAAAGCGUGGGGAGCAAACAGG
rnacentral:rRNA from 1 species